rnacentral:tRNA from 1 species
GGGGGUUUAGCUCAGAUGGCUAGAGCGUGUGACUGGCAGUCACAAGGUCAGGGGUUCGAUUCCCCUAAUCUCCA